CGUCAGCCGCCUCCCUCCAAACGUUACUGUGAGGAUUGAGUGAAGUAACACAAUACUACUAUUAGCUAGAGAGAGAGAGAACUGCGAAAUGACAAAGUGCUUCCACGGAGAUCGCUGGCAAGCUUCAGAGCAGCUCAGAGUAUCAUUACCCCUAUUUUUUCCGUUGAGGAAAUCAAAGACUCUGAAAGAUUAAAUUCCCUUGACAACAAUGAGCCGUGCUGUCACUCAGAAGCAGCGGGCCUGGCCCCACCACAUCUGACUGUGAGAUCACACAUCUGCCCCCGAGUCCCUCAUGUGCGCCGUGUGUCGUGUUCAAGGCACUCAUUCAUCCAGGAAGAGACAAACAUUUGUGUGCCUACCUGGCACCAGGUGCCAAGGUGUGCUUGGGGGGAAUGCACGUUGAUGGCGAAGCAUCUGGGACCAGCGGCAUCAGGUUCUUCUGGAGCAAAGGCAUCUGUCAUCCGGGGCCUCAACCCCGCUUCUCUUGGAUUUGUGUUUGGCAGCACCUGUGGCCUAUGGACGUUCCUGGUCUGGGGAUCGAACCCAUGCUCCUGCAGAGACAACACUGGCUCCUUAACCCAUUGCACCAGAGAGGGAACUCCCCUUUGAUUAUUUAAGAGCUACCUGCCAAGGGCAUAUCUUGUAAGGCACCUUGGUAGUUGUAGAGGAGGAGACUGAUCUUAAAAGAGUUUAUAAUCUAGAAGGAGCAAUAAGACAACAACCACAAAAAUAAGCACAGGUCCACAUAUAUACAGUAUUAACAGACCUAAAUGGCACAAAGAACAUGCUCCCAGAAACCCACGACGGCCAUGGAUGACACCCCUGAAGGGGAAAUCAGGGAGGAGGCGGUAUUCGAGCCGGCUUUCAAGGAGAAGCGGAUAUUCCACUGGCAGAAAGGUGGGACUGGGGGAGAAGGGGUGUGCCUGAAGGAAGAAGCCUCAUGAGCAAACAGGCAGCGACACAGGCGAUCACCAGGUUGGACUGGCUUAGGGUACUGGCAGAGACGGUGUCCUUCAGCUGGGUCCCCGGAGCUUUGAGAAGCAGGAGAAUUCUCUGACCACGCGAAGCUAUGUUUAUGGGUGCACGUGCACUUUUCUGGAGCGAGGGCUCACAGCUCUUUUCCAGUUCUCUAAAGGGUCUGGAGCAGAGGAGAGGUUAAGAACCAGCACUCCCAGGCUCCCGAAUUAGAAUUUCCAGGUGGGUUAAGGCCUCUGUGUUUUUCUUUUUUCUUUUCUUUUCUUUUUUUGUUUUGUUUUUGCACACCUCGGACCUCUAGACAGGCCCAAGGAGGCCUUGACCUGCUAGCCUAACCCGCGCUUCCUUCCCUUGGGCCACGCCAAUCCCCCGCCACCACUUUACAGAAUCACCACCUUCACCCCAGCUUCCACCGCCCCGAGAGACAAAAGCGGGCAAACGGCCAGAGAAACGGAGCGGGACCUCAGGGACUCAGGCAAAGACUCUGGAAUCUCCUUCAGGGAUGGGGUGGGUGGGAGCCUUUCCGCUCCGAGGCUGGCCGAGGUCCCCAGCCCCACCGCGGACCCGCGGUCAGAUUCUGGGAAUUUCCAAGCCCG
rnacentral:lncRNA from 1 species